rnacentral:lncRNA from 1 species
UGUGGGAUGAUUGGAGCUGCACUGUGCAUCAUUUCUAUGGCAGACACUAACUGGUUUCGGAUUUUGCUGACAAUCCGAAUGCGUGGUGUACAUCGGCUCAGAUCUGCAAGUUUGGAGGACUUCCUACGGAUAAACACAUAUGCAUGUGUUAGAUCUUGUUUCCUUUCACCCAAAUACAUCAAGCUAACACGGAAGUAACACAAAUUGGGAGGAUUUUUACCUUCCGCAUCGUCACUUUUCAGCUUACUCUACCACGGCUCGGGACUCACAGAGGUUUGUUUGUUGUGGUUCUGGAAGGCUACGGAGACACCUCUUUGAGA